UACGAAGUGGGCUAGCGUUGCUCGGAUUUACUGGGCGUAAAGGGCGCGUAGGCGGAUGUUUAAGUCGGGGGUGAAAGCCCGGGGCUCAACCUCGGAAUUGCCUUCGAUACUGGACAUCUUGAGUACGGGAGAGGUGAGUGGAACUCCGAGUGUAGAGGUGAAAUUCGUAGAUAUUCGGAAGAACACCAGUGGCGAAGGCGACUCACUGGCCCGGUACUGACGCUGAGGCGCGAAAGCGUGGGGAGCAAACAGG
rnacentral:rRNA from 1 species